rnacentral:rRNA from 1 species
GACGAACGCUGGCGGCGUGCUUAACACAUGCAAGUCGAACGAUGACGCCCGAGCUUGCUCGGUCUGAUUAGUGGCGAACGGGUGAGCAACACGUGAGCAACCUGCCCUUCACUCUGGGAUAACCUCGGGAAAUCGGGGCUAAUACCGGAUAUGAGCUCCUGUCGCAUGGCGGGUGUUGGAAAGUUUUUCGGUGAAGGAUGGGCUCGCGGCCUAUCAGUUUGUUGGUGAGGUAGUGGCUCACCAAGGCGAUGACGGGUAGCCGGCCUGAGAGGGCGACCGGCCACACUGGGACUGAGACACGGCCCAGACUCCUACGGGAGGCAGCAGUGGGGAAUAUUGCACAAUGGGCGAAAGCCUGAUGCAGCGACGCCGCGUGAGGGAUGACGGCCUUCGGGUUGUAAACCUCUUUCAGCAGGGAAGAAGCGAAAGUGACGGUACCUGCAGAAGAAGCGCCGGCUAACUACGUG